UAGUUGCAAGGUAUAGACCCGAAACCCGGUGAUCUAGCCAUGGGCAGGUUGAAGGUUGGGUAACACUAACUGGAGGACCGAACCGACUAAUGUUGAAAAAUUAGCGGAUGACUUGUGGCUGGGGGUGAAAGGCCAAUCAAACCGGGAGAUAGCUGGUUCUCCCCGAAAGCUAUUUAGGUAGCGCCUCGUGAACUCAUCUUCGGGGGUAGAGCACUGUUUCGGCUAGGGGGCCAUCCCGGCUUACCAAACCGAUGCAAACUCCGAAUACCGAAGAAUGUUAUCACGGGAGACACACGGCGGGUGCUAACGUCCGUCGUGAAGAGGGAAACAACCCAGACCGCCAGCUAAGGUCCCAAAGUCAUGGUUAAGUGGGAAACGAUGUGGGAAGGCAUAGACAGCCAGGAUGUUGGCUUAGAAGCAGCCAUCAUUUAAAGAAAGCGUAAUAGCUCACUGGUCGAGUCGGCCUGCGCGGAAGAUGUAACGGGGCUAAACCAUGCACCGAAGCUGCGGCAGCGACGCUUAGGCGUUGUUGGGUAGGGGAGCGUUCUGUAAGCCGUUGAAGGUGGCCUGUGAGGGUUGCUGGAGGUAUCAGAAGUGCGAAUGCUGACAUAAGUAACGAUAAAGCGGGUGAAAAGCCCGCUCGCCGGAAGACCAAGGGUUCCUGUCCAACGUUAAUCGGGGCAGGGUGAGUCGACCCCUAAGGCGAGGCUGAAAAGCGUAGUCGAUGGGAAACAGGUUAAUAUUCCUGUACUUGGUGUUACUGCGAAGGGGGGACGGAGAAGGCUAGGCUGGCCGGGCGACGGUUGUCCCGGUUUAAGCGUGUAGGGGGUGUGACCUGGUAAAUCCGGUUGCAUACUAACCCUGAGGCGUGAUGACGAUGCACUACGGUGCAGAAGUAGUUGAUGCCCUGCUUCCAGGAAAAUCCUCUAAGCUCCAGGUAACAUUAAAUCGUACCCCAAACCGACACAGGUGGUCAGGUAGAGAAUACCAAGGCGCUUGAGAGAACUCGGGUGAAGGAACUAGGCAAAAUGGUGCCGUAACUUCGGGAGAAGGCACGCUGGCAUGUAGGUGAAGUCCCUUGCGGAUGGAGCUGAAGCCAGUCGAAGAUACCAGCUGGCUGCAACUGUUUAAUAAAAACACAGCACUGUGCAAACACGAAAGUGGACGUAUACGGUGUGACGCCUGCCCGGUGCUGGAAGGUUAAUUGAUGGGGUCAGCCGCAAGGCGAAGCUCUUGAUCGAAGCCCCAGUAAACGGCGGCCGUAACUAUAACGGUCCUAAGGUAGCGAAAUUCCUUGUCGGGUAAGUUCCGACCUGCACGAAUGGCGUAAUGAUGGCCAGGCUGUCUCCACCCGAGACUCAGUGAAAUUGAACUCGCUGUGAAGAUGCAGUGUACCCGCGGCAAGACGGAAAGACCCCGUGAACCUUUACUAUAGCUUGACACUGAACAUUGAGCCUUGAUGUGUAGGAUAGGUGGGAGGCUUUGAAGCGUGGACGCCAGUCUGCGUGGAGCCAUCCUUGAAAUACCACCCUUUAAUGUUUGAUGUUCUAACUCGGCCCCAUAAUCUGGGGUGAGGACAGUGUCUGGUGGGUAGUUUGACUGGGGCGGUCUCCUCCCAAAGAGUAACGGAGGAGCACGAAGGUUAGCUAAUCACGGUCGGACAUCGUGAGGUUAGUGCAAAGGCAUAAGCUAGCUUGACUGCGAGAGUGACGGCUCGAGCAGGUACGAAAGUAGGUCUUAGUGAUCCGGUGGUUCUGAAUGGAAGGGCCAUCGCUCAACGGAUAAAAGGUACUCCGGGGAUAACAGGCUGAUACCGCCCAAGAGUUCAUAUCGACGGCGGUGUUUGGCACCUCGAUGUCGGCUCAUCACAUCCUGGGGCUGAAGUAGGUCCCAAGGGUAUGGCUGUUCGCCAUUUAAAGUGGUACGCGAGCUGGGUUUAGAACGUCGUGAGACAGUUCGGUCCCUAUCUGCCGUGGGCGUUGGAAGAUUGAGAGGGGUUGCUCCUAGUACGAGAGGACCGGAGUGAACGCACCACUGGUGUUCGGGUUGUCAUGCCAAUGGCAUUGCCCGGUAGCUAAGUGCGGAAAAGAUAAGCGCUGAAAGCAUCUAAGCGCGAAACUUGCCUCAAGAUGAGUCUUCCCUGGGCCUUUAAGGCCCCUGAAGGAACGUUUAAGACUAAGACGUUGAUAGGCUGGGUGUGUAAGUGCAGCGAUGCAUUGAGCUAACCAGUACUAAUGAUCCGUGAGGCUUAACCUUACAACACCGAAGGUGUUU
rnacentral:rRNA from 1 species